rnacentral:rRNA from 1 species
GUCUACGGCCAUGCCACCCUGAACGAGCCCAAUGUCUAAUCUUAGAAGCUAAGCAGGGUCAGUCCUGGUUAGUACUUGGAUGGGAGACCACCUAGGAAGACCAGGUGCUGUAGGCA